UUUGAUCCUGGCUCAGAGCGAACGCUGGCGGCAGGCUUAACACAUGCAAGUCGAGCGGGGCUUCGGGGUCAGCGGCAGACGGGUGAGUAACGCGUGGGAACGUGCCUUCGGUUCGGAAUAACUCAGGGAAACUUGAGCUAAUACCGGAUACGCCCUUUUGGGGAAAGGUUUAUCUGCCGAAGAUCGGCCCGCGUCUGAUUAGCUAGUUGGUGAGGUUAUGGCUCACCAAGGCGACGAUCAGUAGCUGGUCUGAGAGGAUGAUCAGCCACACUGGGACUGAGACACGGCCCAGACUCCUACGGGAGGCAGCAGUGGGGAAUAUUGGACAAUGGGGGCAACCCUGAUCCAGCCAUGCCGCGUGAGUGAUGACGGCCUUAGGGUUGUAAAGCUCUUUUCUCCGGGACGAUAAUGACGGUACCGGAGGAAUAAGCCCCGGCUAACUUCGUGCCAGCAGCCGCGGUAAUACGGAGGGGGCUAGCGUUGCCCGGAAUCACUGGGCGUAAAGGGCGCGUAGGCGGCUGAUUUAGUCGAGGGUGAAAGCCCGUGGCUCAACCACGGAAUUGCCUUCGAUACUGGGAGACUUGAGUUCGGAAGAGGUUGGUGGAACUGCGAGUGUAGAGGUGAAAUUCGUAGAUAUUCGCAAGAACACCGGUGACGAAGGCGGCCAACUGGUCCGACACUGACGCUGAGGCGCGAAAGCGGGGGAGCAAACAGGAUUAGAUACCCUGGUAGUCAAUCACU
rnacentral:rRNA from 1 species